rnacentral:lncRNA from 1 species
UUCUUUUAUAAUAAACCUCCAAAAACACUAUUCACUUUAGUUUGUAGCUCAGGUACAGAUAUUUUUCGCAUGCCCUUCUGAAUGUCCGUUUGAGCUCAAACUUGCCAGUCAGGCUCGGUUUUACUUAACUUAACGAAAAAAAUUUUAAUCUUUCAGUUUCGACCACAUUUGGUCACCGAAAGCUCUACCGAACUGUAAUCUCUAGCAGAUAGUAGUCGGAUUUUAUUUUUCACCUUUCCGGUGUCAAAAUGAGAUGAAACUUUAAAUCUAGCCUCAUAAAAAUAAUUCUGACAUAUUAUCCAGUUUUCAUAAUUUUCUGACACUGUGCAUUUUCUGCUAAAAUAUCAGCCCCAUCACUCUCAUAAAAUUCUAAAUCUUCUGUUUUCGUUUCGAUUUCAGCACAAGUUAUUUCUAACUUAUAUUUUACUUCUCUAAAUCUAAAAAAAAUAGUAUCUCACACUAUUUUUAUUUAUUUUUACUUUUAUAUCAAAAUUUGGUAUGUUACAUUCUCCAUCCCUUAAAAAGAAUUUCGUCCGCGAAAUUCAAACCACGCCUCAAUUCAGCUCCUCGAGCAAUUGAGGGUACCGACUCAUUCUCCCACUCCAGA